UAACGAAACAAUGGGCUAAUGAGAAC
rnacentral:sRNA from 1 species